UACGUAGGGGGCUAGCGUUGUCCGGAAUCAUUGGGCGUAAAGAGCGUGUAGGCUGUCCGGUAAGUCCGCUGUGAAAGUCGGGGGCUCAACCCUCGAAUGCCGGUGGAUACUGUCGGGCUAGAGUGCGGAAGAGGCGAGUGGAAUUCCUGGUGUAGCGGUGAAAUGCGCAGAUAUCAGGAGGAACACCUAUUGCGAAGGCAGCUCGCUGGGACGUAACUGACGCUGAGACGCGAAAGCGUGGGGAGCAAACAGG
rnacentral:rRNA from 1 species